UAGUACACAGACUCGAUAGAUCUUGAACUUUGUCACAGCAGAAAUAAGUUUGAGUCCAUAAUCAACCACAUCGUCAUCUUGCAGGAGGUGGUGAGAUCUAUUCAUCAAAGAAUGUCCAGUCUGCUACAAUUAUUUGAAUACUGCUUUUGCCCAAGGUAGAUGAAGUCGGUCUCCACAGUACUUGACUCCACCUUCACUAUGGCUGCUGCUGCUGGCCCAGCUCUGAGGUUCUGGACCUUGGUCUUCUGCCAUGAGAUGUUCAACCCCAUAGUGCAGUGUCCAAGUGUCAUGGGGACUGGCCCUUUCAAGGGAGUCAGGGAGCAGCCUACCUGUGACAGGCUCUGCCAAGGAGAGUGAGCCAACUCAGAUCCACUUACCCUCCAAUGGGCCACGGCUACAAUAAUACUGAGACUGACAAUGGAAGAUAUUGAACUUUGCUAUCUGAAAUGGAAACUCCACAACAUGAAGGAAGCAAAACUCAGCAACUACUUCCUGAGCAAAUGCAAGAAACAAAACUUCCUCAGAGGACUCACUAUCUAUAACCUUCUGACAACUACAUACAACUCUAAAUAUGCUGAACAGGUCUGCAGAACGACUUCAGGAAAAUUGAGAAACCGUCUCAUGUACUCCAGAAAGGACCAUCUCAAGCAAAUCGUCACAUGCUCCCAUACACCAGAAGAGAAAAAUCAAGAACCCUAUCUGGAGAUUUUGCAAAAAACUCAAAACUACUAUCAAAAAACUCUGAUGGUAGCCAUCCAACACAAAAACAAAAAGUGGAACCAACUAGAACAGCUCCACAAUCCACAAGAAG